rnacentral:rRNA from 1 species
AUUGAACGCUGGCGGCAGGCCUAACACAUGCAAGUCGGACGGUAGCACAGAGAGCUUGCUCUCGGGUGACGAGUGGCGGACGGGUGAGUAAUGUCUGGGGAUCUGCCCGAUAGAGGGGGAUAACCACUGGAAACGGUGGCUAAUACCGCAUAACGUCGCAAGACCAAAGAGGGGGACCUUCGGGCCUCUCACUAUCGGAUGAACCCAGAUGGGAUUAGCUAGUAGGCGGGGUAACGGCCCACCUAGGCGACGAUCCCUAGCUGGUCUGAGAGGAUGACCAGCCACACUGGAACUGAGACACGGUCCAGACUCCUACGGGAGGCAGCAGUGGGGAAUAUUGCACAAUGGGCGCAAGCCUGAUGCAGCCAUGCCGCGUGUAUGAAGAAGGCCUUCAGGUUGUAAAGUACUUCAGCGGGGAGGAAGGCGAUGUGGUUAAUAACCGCAUUGAUUGACGUUACCCGCAGAAGAAGCACCGGCUAACUCCGUGCCAGCCGCCGCGGUAA